GGAUUGAACGCUGGCGGCAUGCCUAACACAUGCAAGUCGAACGGGAGUAGCAAUACUCUAGUGGCGGACGGGUGAGGAAUACGUAGGAAUUUGCCCUUAAGUGGGGGAUAACCCGGGGAAACCCGGAUUAAUACCGCAUGACCUCGAAAGAGCAAAGUGGGGGAUCGCAAGACCUCACGCUUUUGGAGAAGCCUACGUCGGAUUAGCUAGUUGGUGAGGUAAUGGCUCACCAAGGCGACGAUUCGUAACUGGUCUGAGACGGAUGGAUCGAGUCACACCGGACUGAGACACGGUCCGGACUCCUACGGGAGGCCAG
rnacentral:rRNA from 1 species